rnacentral:rRNA from 1 species
CUUGACGAAGAUAGAAGAUAGGAACCACCUGAUACCAUUCCGAACUCAGAAGUGAAACUAUCUUUCGCCGAUGGUAGUGUGGGUUUCCCAUGUGAGAGUAGGGCAUUGUCAAGC